AGCUAACGCGUUAAGUAGACCGCCUGGGGAGUACGGUCGCAAGAUUAAAACUCAAAUGAAUUGACGGGGGCCCGCACAAGCGGUGGAGCAUGUGGUUUAAUUCGAUGCAACGCGAAGAACCUUACCUACUCUUGACAUCCAGAGAAGCCAGCGGAGACGCAGGUGUGCCUUCGGGAGCUCUGAGACAGGUGCUGCAUGGCUGUCGUCAGCUCGUGUCGUGAGAUGUUGGGUUAAGU
rnacentral:rRNA from 1 species